CCUACGGGUGGCAGCAGUGGGGAAUUUUGGACAAUGGGCGCAAGCCUGAACCAGCCAAGCCGCGUGAGGGAAGACUGCCCUAUGGGUUGUAAACUUCUUUUAUAAGGGAAACAUAAUGACUACUUGUAGUCAGAUGCACGCACCUUAUGAAUAAGCCUCGGCUAACUCCGUGCCAGCAGCCGCGCUAAUACGGAGGAUGCGAUCGUUAUCCGGAUUUAUUGGGGUUAAAGGAUGCGUGGGCGGUAUUUUACGGUAGUGGAAAAACGUCGGGGUGUCACCUUGAUUGGCCAUGGAAACUGGGGUACUGGAGUACAGACGAGGUAGGCGGAAUAAGGAAAGUAGCGGU
rnacentral:rRNA from 1 species